UACGGGGGGGGCAAGCGUUGUUCGUAAUUACUGGGCGUAAAGGGCGCGUAGGCGGGUGGACAAGUCUCUCGUGAAAGCCCACGGCUCAACCGUGGAAUUGCGGGAGAUACUGUCUGUCUUGAGUCCGGGAGAGUAGGGUGGAAUUCCCAGUGUAGCGGUGAAAUGCGUAGAUAUUUGGAGGAACACCGGUGGCGAAGGCGGCUCUCUCGACCGGUACUGACGCUUAGGCGCGAAAGCUAGGGGAGCAAACGGG
rnacentral:rRNA from 1 species